rnacentral:misc_RNA from 1 species
GGCUUGUGAGCUGGGCCAAGAACAGAACCCUAACUCCACACUCGAAAGAAGUGGCUCACAUGUAUCGACACGAGUCUGGAAACUGGCUCAACGUUCCAUUUGAAAUUGAUUCUGAACUCAACAAUCUGUGACGGUGGCAUGGCGACGGUGGUUGAUAUGGACGCCAAAGGAGAGUUAGGGUUUCCGUACUGGACUCCAGUUCGUCGACGUUUGAGCCCCGAUUCUCCAUUCUUUGCUUAUGGUAACAUUCAGAGGGAGCUCUUCGCCAAACAGGUGAUUUUCUCGUUGAUCUUCAGCAUUCUUCUUCAAUGAUAAAGGAUUGAUUCGAAAUUUUAACAUCUGUUUGAUUGAGUUCAGAAUGCAUGUUAGAUGCUGAAGUGAAAUUUAGUUGCUCUUUCAUUUCUUUUUCUUUGGUUUUGGUUAUUAAUUUUUGGAAUUAUAGAUGAUCAAUGAAACCCCAUGCAUUAAAGCUGGAGAAUUUUCCGUUCUUAAUAUUCUGUGGAGAAUUUACCUUAGGUGAACACUGAACAGGCUUACGCAGGCCAUAAUAGAGGAAAAGAUGCUAUGUAACUAGUUUAAGAAAAGCUGAAGAAGGCUUAAAUGAGUUGAGGUGAGUUCUAUUCUUAAGCACUUAUUUAGCAUUUUAAUUCCAGGUUGCAUUGGAUUUAACAGAAGAUGAAAAGAAUCAGUUACAGAAUUUGGUGGAUGAGGAUGGCAGGUAUCAAUAUUCGAAUUAAUUUUCUCAUCUUCAUUUUAGCCUGCAAUGAUGGUAUCUAUUUAGUUUUCUUUUCCGUAAAUCAGAAAUUUUAUCUAUUUAGAUAUUAUUUGCUUGUUGUUUGUGUAUUUGUCGACUCAUCAGAGCUGUUAUAUGCUUAGUCCAAAUGAUUUGAAGAGGAAUUGAUAUAAACAUUGGGGAGAUAGAAAAUUUGGCUAUUUAUUUAGCUGAUUUUGAUCCUUAUUUUUAUGAUGAGACGAUCAAAGGUUAUUGUUUUAGGUACCAUGUACAGUCGAUUUCCAUUCAUAUGCUGUUUAUGAUCAAUUCUUAUAGUUUUACUUUUACAUGUUAGUGGAAAAAGUGUUCUGUCAUUCUUAAUUGUUUAGCUGAAGAUAAAUGUUUUUGAAAACUUUUAGAGUACUUGAUUGUUUGUGAUAAAGGGAUUUUUAGAUUUCUAGGAAAUGAAGAGAGCAAUUUCAGGGUUUUACCUUUCUGCUUCAUGCAUGGAAUAAAUAGUUUUAUUUCUAAGUUUCUACUAAUUGUGCCUAACUAUCAAUGUUUGAGCAGGGAUAUUUUUUGUCCCAUUGUUGGAUGUGGUGCACGCUUGACAUUUUUGGAAGACUUUGAAGACCAUUACAAUGCACGGCACGCUGCAUCCUGUUCGGUGUGCUCUAGAGUUUAUCCAACUUCUGGCCUGCUCAGCAUACAUGUAUCAGAAGCACAUGAUUCAUUUUUUCAAGCAAAAGUUGCACGUGGCUAUGCCAUGGUAUUCUUUGUUAGUUAAAUUUUUUUAUAAUUUAUGUCAUGAUUCUAAUCUAUAUGACUUUUAUUUUUCAAUUGAUUUUUGGCAAGCAUCAAUGCAGUUUAACAGUUUUAUUAUCAAAUGUUUUGAUAAUUGAUAUGUGAUUUGCAUAAUUUGUAAUUGUGAUAUGGCUUGUGAGACACCCGCAUGAUGGUACAAUUUGUCUAUGCUUUUGAUUUGUUUUUUUCCUUCUUCAUGCUUAACUGUUAUUGGAUUUGCAACUCACUUGUAAUGACUUGAUAAGCAAUCCAACUUAUCCCACUCCCUCAGGAGCUACAAGAAUCACUUAAAAGAGAGAAAAUGGACAAUAAAGUAGGAAAUAAAAGCAGAGUAGGAUUAUGCCCUGGAGAUGGAUAGACCAAUUAUGUAUGAAUGCACAUGGUUUUUUCCUUAAUGGUGGUAACUUGUUCAUCUAUUUGGUGGUUCUUAAAAUCCAAGCUUCUGUUUGGAAUUGCCAUAAUCGCAAGAAGUUCUUCAGUUUGUUGAAUGUGCUGGUUUUUUAUGCUUCUUCUCACAACUUUUUUGUUCAAUGCUAAUGUGCAUUCUCAAGUGACAGUAUGAAUGCCUGGUGGAAGGUUGUGCUUUGAAAUUCAAGAACUACAAAAGUAGGCAACAGCAUUUGGUGGACAAGCAUAAAUUUCCCAGCGCAUUUGAAUUCUUCAAGAAGGCCCAUCCAUCAAAGAAGGCAAGACAGAAGCACCAGCGUAGACUAGCUAUUCGAAAGAGGGAGGAAACUUCAACCAAAAUGGAAGUAGAAGGUGAAACCAUUGAUGGCCUCAUAUCAGCAGUCUCUAGAUUAAGCACUUCAGAUUCACCUCCUUCUGUCAGCUUUGGUCGCCGCCACACUCGUGGUCUUAUGUUUGUACCUCGUACUGUUCAGCGAGAAAAUAGCUCACACAGUGGAACAAAGAGGUAGCCACCUAACUAGUAAAUAACAUGCCUUCUUCCACCAAUACUGCCAAUGGCUUCGGCAUGUAACAAUGAAAAAGGCAAUAUGAGAGCUGUAGGAGACUUAUAAAAUGCUGUAGAUGAUCUGCAUAUUGCACAGAAUCAUCUAAAAUGCUGUAGGAGACAUGUUGUGCAUAUAAUUUGCACCCAAGGCGUCACCAUUCUGCUUACAGACAAAUUUUAUUAUUAUUUUGAGGCUAUUUAUUUAUUUUUGUAAAUAUAUUUUUUUAUAUGUUUAUUUAAUAGAAUAAGAAAGAGAGAGAAUGGAGUGGGAAUGAUAAGUUACAUAAAUUAAUCGUAAAAGAUGGGAGUUUGGCAGAGAUGGGACUCCCAAAAUAGAAAUUAAAGCCUGUUCAUCAUGUACUAUUACUUCAAGUUUGAUGGAUCGCGAUAUGGUAUAAUUAUCUGUGUUGUCCUUUUAGUAAUAAGACAUAUAGUGAAAUUCAAAUCAUAC